rnacentral:rRNA from 1 species
CAACCCGAAGACGGCCCGCCAACCGCAAGGAGGCAGCCGGCCACGGUUGGGUCAGUGACUGGGGUGAAGUCGUAACAAGGUAGCCGUAGGGGAACCUGCGGCUGGAUCACCUCCUUU